ACGGGUGAGUAACGCGUGGGAAUCUACCGUACCCUACGGAAUAGCUCUGGGAAACUGGAAGUAAUACCGUAUACGCCCGUAAGGGGAAAGAUUUAUCGGGGUAUGAUGAGCCCGCGUUGGAUUAGCUAGUUGGUGGGGUAAAGGCCUACCAAGGCGACGAUCCAUAGCUGGUCUGAGAGGAUGGUCAGCCACAUUGGGACUGAGACACGGCCCAAACUCCUACGGGAGGCAGCAGUGGGGAAUAUUGGACAAUGGGCGCAAGCCUGAUCCAGCCAUGCCGCGUGAGUGAUGAAGGUCUUAGGAUUGUAAAGCUCUUUCAACGGUGAAGAUAAUGACGGUAACCGUAGAAGAAGCCCCGGCUAACUUCGUGCCAGCAGCCGCGGUAAUACGAAGGGGGCUAGCGUUGUUCGGAAUUACUGGGCGUAAAGCGCACGUAGGCGGGUAUUUAAGUCAGGGGUGAAAUCCCGCAGCUCAACUGCGGAACUGCCUUUGAUACUGGGUAUCUUGAGUAUGGAAGAGGUAAGUGGAAUUGCGAGUGUAGAGGUGAAAUUCGUAGA
rnacentral:rRNA from 1 species